CAAAUUCAAACAUAAAUUUGAAAUGGCCAGCAGCAACCGCACGGCCUAAGCUGUGUGGGGAGAACAUUCCACUGCAGGUCCUUCUACGUUAUGAAACUCCCCAAUAAUAUUUAUUAUCCAAUAUUUAUAUUUGAAUAUCAAUUCAAAAUCAGCAGCAACCACACGGCCUGAGCUGUGUGGGGAGAACAUUCCACUGCAGGUCCUUCUACGUUAUUAAACUCCCCCAAAUUCAAAUAUAAAUUCAAAAUGAUCAGCGGCAACCACACGGCCUGAGCUGUGUGGGGAGAACAUUCCCGAAGUUGCAUCCACCCCAUCCUAACCCCAGCACGGGGCAGUUCUCAUUACUGACCACCUCAAGUGCAAAGAGAAGGGAAAAUCUGAUUUUUGUUUAAUUUUAAAGAAAUCUACAUUAUACAUUAUCAUACACGUGGUCUUCUACAUUAAAAAAAACUCACCUAAAUUUUGAUUAUUUGGUUUUGUUAUAUCCACUACUGCUGCUGCUGCUCCAGGGAGGGUUUAGUAAAACUCCUCAGAGCCAAGGUACACCAGGUGUACAUCCAAGGAGUUGUACAAUUCUCUCCCUCCCUGUGGCUCAAACCCUUCCCCUCAGCCUCCUGAUCUGACACCAUAUUCUCUUUUCCAGGCCGAAGCCCAAUUAAAAAAGAACAGCUUUCUAAUUUUAGGGAUUUAUGAAAAGCACGAAACAAAGUGUCUCAUUCUCCUCCUAUAAAUCUAUUUAUUUCCUUCAUGGCCAGGGGCAAAGGAGGUUUUUUGAACCCAUUUCCCAGCAAAAGGUCGUUUCCCUCGUGAUUCACCACCGGGUGAGGAAAUGCUGUGCCCUGACUGGUAAAAAUUCUGGGGAAAAAAAAAACCCUGUGGUGCCCAAAGCACGUCCCUUAUCCAUUUUAUACAAGAAUUGUCCAUGUUCCAAAGGAUUCCAAUGCUCCAGAGGUGUCUCAGCACUGCCCGUUCCUGGGAAAAGCUCUCCCAGGGACUGCGGGACGAGUCACGCCCGGAACAUCGGCGACAUUUUGAGGUUUCUUUUCCUUCUCACCCAAUUCUUGGGAGGCCUGAGGAGCGACUGCAAGAACCUUUGGAACUACAGAAGGAUUUUUCUGCAAGGCACCAGGAUGAAGCACCGACCCCAGAGGAGAAAAAAAUUGUAUUUUCCCUGGGCCAGCUUAAAAAGGCACCUUUCUUCGUGGGAGCCCUCUGAGCCUUCAAUGGUUAAUUUUUUUCCAGACAGUGAUCUAAACUGGCUCAACGGAUCCCACUACACCACUGCAGAAAAUCCAGGGCAAACAUCCCAUAAAUGCAGGGAUCUGGGAGUGGAGGAGCUGAACCUUGAUUUGGGGUGAUGCCACAACCCUGAGCCUCAGGACCAGCAAAAUCCUCCAAGGACUGGGGGAAGGAGCUGCAAGUGAGACCUAAACCCUGCGUGGGGCAAAGCCUGGAAGAAAGCACAGCUGAGCUGCCUCCUGCUGUAUUUUUCCACUUGAUGGGUGCAGGUAUUAAUUACUGAGCUGGGAAUUACUCACCCGAUGAGGGCCACCAUCUGCUCCACGAUGUGUUUGCUGAAGGUGAUGAUAACGAAGAGUUUCUGUGGAGGGACAAGAGCAGUCACACAAAGCCUGGAGCACUUUGUGCUCCUUCCCCAGCAGCUCCUGCCCAGCUUUCCCUCCUCUCCUCUUUAUUUUUCAAAGCCUGGAGCACUUUGUGCUCCUUCCCCAGCAGCUCCUGCCCACCUUUCUCUCCUCUCCUCUUUAUUUUUCAACUUUCUCCUCAGAAAAGAGGCAGGAGAGGGAAAAAAAAAAAAACAA